rnacentral:tRNA from 1 species
UCCCCAGUGGCGCAAUUGGCUAGCGCGCGGUACUUUUAAUGCCGGGGUUGUGAGUUCGAGCCUCACCUGGGGAA